rnacentral:rRNA from 1 species
UACAGAGGGGGCAAGCGUUAUUCGGAAUUAUUGGGCGUAAAGGGCGCGUAGGCGGCUUGGCAAGUGGAAGGUGAAAUCCCUCGGCUUAACCGAGGAACUGCCCUCCAAACUGCUUAGCUUGAGACCGGGAGAGGUGAGUGGAAUUCCCAGUGUAGCGGUGAAAUGCGUAGAUAUUGGGAGGAACACCAGUGGCGAAGGCGGCUCACUGGACCGGUACUGACGCUGAUGCGCGAAAAGCCGUGGGGAGCAAACAGG